rnacentral:rRNA from 1 species
CAGCAGCCGCGGUAAUACGUAGGGUGCGAGCGUUAAUCGGAAUUACUGGGCGUAAAGCGUGCGCAGGCGGUUUUGUAAGACAGGCGUGAAAUCCCCGGGCUCAACCUGGGAAUGGCGCUUGUGACUGCAAAGCUAGAGUGCGGCAGAGGGGGAUGGAAUUCCGCGUGUAGCAGUGAAAUGCGUAGAUAUGCGGAGGAACACCGAUGGCGAAGGCAAUCCCCUGGGCCUACACUGACUCUGAGAGACGAAAGCUAGGGGAGAAAAUGGGAUUAGAUACCCCUGUAGUCCCUGUCUCUUAUAC